AAUAAAAUCUCACUUUUGCCCUCCUGGCUUAAGUAGGAUUGGGUCGGGAGCAAUAGGCGGAGCUCUGAUUCAAAAUUGGUUCCAAAUUCAGCCUGAAAAUGGAAACAGAGGGAAAUCAUUCUUCAGAUUCAGAGAGGAUGAAAAUGGCGGGACCCGAGGUCCUACUUCUUCUUCUUCUUCCACAAAAAAUUCAAUCCAAACGCGGCCUUCUCUCAAACCCAAUUCUUUAUUCAUUGACCGCCUUGACUGGAAACGAAAGAGAAAAACUGCUGCAAAAGGGUCGGAGAAGGCAGACGAUGCUUGCUUUGGAAAGUGAGAAUGAUGCCCACUUCUUAAUUUCCCCAUCUCAAUUCAAAGGAUAUGAUCAAAUCUGCUUGUCAGAACAUAGUUUCAGAUGAACUGAAAAAAUUGGACUCUCCAUUGAAUGACAGUUUGAAGAUGUCAACUUUUGAUUCUGAUAUCAAUGACAUCUUAUGGGAAUAUGAUGGUCUUCAUGAUGCUUAAAGGCUAAUGUGAAGAAAUGCGGUUAGAAAUGCAAAGGAUCUUGUAUGAGGACCUGAGGGCUGAUUCAACUAAAACAAGGUUUUUCAAUUGGACAUUUUAUUCUUGUGAGCGUAGAAGUUCAUUGUUCACUCUAGCUGGUUGCAGAACCAGACAAUAUUGAAACAUGGCAAGAUGAAGAAGAUGAAUACUUGGUUUAUGCAGUCUAUGUGCAUGUGCAACUAAAUAAUAAGCAGCUUUAGUAGGUGGACAGCUGAAGGAGUGGUCGAUGAUGAAAAUAGAACUGGUGCUAGCCUUAGUGAGAAUUGGAACUCAACUUGGAAUUCGAUACAAGUAGUCUAUUAAAGGAGCGUGUUUUUCAAAUGCUGUCGAGAAGGUCAGAAAAUUUGCAUAUUAGUAAAUUUAAUGGUUUGAAAAAAAUUAUUUGUGAAUUAGAUAAGGAAGGUGGUCUUUUACAUUUGAAAUCUCUCUUAGUCCGUUAUAAUGAUGAAAACCAAUACAUCGUUGACAACUCAUUAAUGGAGCCCCAUGAUAUUUCCGAUCAUAUUUCUGAUAGCUGCUAUAUAAAGGUGGAUAUGAAGAAUCAAUGUUAGAAAUAAUGCAAAGGACCAUCUUUUAUGAAGACCUGAGGGGCUGAAUCAUCAACUAGAAAAGAAGUUAUGUGGAUCUUCUAAAUUGAUUGAUUGCAGGAGAUGUCUCUGGACUACGAUACCAAGUGAAUACAUUUUUUUCUUUUAAACAAGUAAUUAGCA